CUGGCUCAGGACGAACGCUGGCGGCGUGCUUAACACAUGCAAGUCGAACGAGAAUCUAUGGAUCGAGGAUUCGUCCAAGUGAAGUAGAGGACAGUGGCGGACGGGUGAGUAACGCGUGAGGAACCUGCCUUUCAGAGGGGGACAACAGUUGGAAACGACUGCUAAUACCGCAUGACACAUAGAGAUCGCAUGGUUUUUAUGUCAAAGAUUUAUCGCUGAAAGAUGGCCUCGCGUCUGAUUAGCUAGUUGGUGAGGUAACGGCCCACCAAGGCGACGAUCAGUAGCCGGACUGAGAGGUUGACCGGCCACAUUGGGACUGAGAUACGGCCCAGACUCCUACGGGAGGCAGCAGUGGGGAAUAUUGGGCAAUGGGCGCAAGCCUGACCCAGCAACGCCGCGUGAAGGAAGAAGGCUUUCGGGUUGUAAACUUCUUUUGUCGGGGACGAGUAGAAGACGGUACCUGGCGAAUAAGCCACGGCUAACUACGUGCCAGCAGCCGCGGUAAUACGUAGGUGGCAAGCGUUGUCCGGAUUUACUGGGUGUAAAGGGCGUGUAGCCGGGAAGGCAAGUCAGAUGUGAAAUCCACGGGCUUAACUCGUGAACUGCAUUUGAAACUGUUUUUCUUGAGUAUCGGAGAGGCAAUCGGAAUUCCUAGUGUAGCGGUGAAAUGCGUAGAUAUUAGGAGGAACACCAGUGGCGAAGGCGGAUUGCUGGACGACAACUGACGGUGAGGUCGCGAAAGCGUGGGGAGCAAACAGGAUUAGAUACCCUGGUAGUCCACGCUGUAAACGAUGAAUACUAGGUGUGCGGGGACUGACCCCCUUGCGUGCCGCAGUUCACACAUAAGUAUUCCACCUGGGGAGAUUCGAAGCCAACGCGGAGAACCUUUACCCAGGCCUUGACAUCCUACUAACGAAGUAGAGAUACAUCAUGUGCCUUCGGGGAAAGUAGAGACAGGUGGUGCAUGGUUGUCGUCAGCUCGUGUCGUGAGAUGUUGGGUUAAGUCCCGCAACGAGCGCAACCCCUAUUGUUAGUUGCUACGCAAGAGCACUCUAGCGAGACUGCCGUUGACAAAACGGAGGAAGGUGGGGACGACGUCAAAUCAUCAUGCCCCUUAUGUCCUGGGCUACACACGUAAUACAAUGGCGGUCAACAGAGGGAUGCAAAGCCGUAAGGCGGAGCGAACCCCUAAAAGCCGUCCCAGUUCAGAUUGUGGGCUGCAACCCGCCCACAUGAAGUCGGAAUCGGCUAGUAAUCGCGGAUCAGUAUGCCGCGGUGAAUACGUUCCCGGGUCCUGUUACACACCGUCCCGUCACACCAUGAGAGUCGGGUAACACCCGAAGUUCCGUAGGUCCUAACCGAAAGGAGGGUGCUGCGUCGCUAGG
rnacentral:rRNA from 1 species